ACCUGGGUGGCUCAGUUGGUUAAGCAUCUGACUUUUGAUCUCAGCUCAGGUCUUGAUUUGGGGUGGUGGGUUCGAACCCCACUCUGGGCU
rnacentral:tRNA from 1 species